rnacentral:rRNA from 1 species
AUGAACGCUAGCGGCAGGCCUAACACAUGCAAGUCGAACGGUAACAGAUCUAGCUUGCUAGAUGCUGACGAGUGGCGCACGGGUGAGUAACGCGUAUACAAUCUACCUUUAACUGAGGAAUAGCCCAGAGAAAUUUGGAUUAAUACCUCAUAGUAUUAUAUUAAGGCAUCUUUUUAUAAUUAAAACUUCGGUGGUUAAAGAUGAGUAUGCGUCCUAUUAGUUUGUUGGUAAGGUAAAAGCUUACCAAGACUACGAUAGGUAGGGGGCCUGAAAGGGUGAUCCCCCACACUGGUACUGAGACACGGACCAGACUCCUACGGGAGGCAGCAGUGAGGAAUAUUGCACAAUGGAGGAAACUCUGAUGCAGCCAUGCCGCGUGCAGGAUGAAUGCCCUAUGGGUUGUAAACUGCUUUUAUACAAGAAGAAACCUCGGUACGUGUACCGACUUGACGGUAUUGUAUGAAUAAGCACCGGCUAACUCCGUGCCAGCAGCCGCGGUAAUACGGAGGGUGCAAGCGUUAUCCGGAUUUAUUAGGUUUAAAGGGUCCGCAGGCGGAAUAUUAAGUCAGUGGUGAAAGCCUACAGCUCAACUGUAGAACUGCCAUUGAAACUGUUAUUCUUGAGUAUGGAUGAAGUGGGCGGAAUAUGUCAUGUAGCGGUGAAAUGCAUAGAUAUGACAUGGAACACCAAUUGCGAAGGCAGCUCACUAAACCAUUACUGACGCUCAUGGGACGAAAGCGUGGGGAGCGAACAGGAUUAGAUACCCUGGUAGUCCACGCCGUAAACUAUGAUCACUAGAUGUUGGCGAUAUAAUGUCAGCGUUUAAGAGAAAUCGAUAAGUGAUCCACCUGGGGAGUACGUUCGCAAGAAUGAAACUCAAAGGAAUUGACGGGGGCCCGCACAAGCGGAGGAGCAUGUGGUUUAAUUCGAUGAUACGCGAGGAACCUUACCAAGGCUUAAAUGUAAUAUGACCGGUUGAGAGAUCAACCUUUUUUCGAACAGAUUACAAGGUGCUGCAUGGUUGUCGUCAGCUCGUGCCGUGAGGUGUCGGGUUAAGUCCCAUAACGAGCGCAACCCCUAUUUUUAGUUACCAGCGAGUAAUGUCGGGAACUCUAGAAAAACUGCCUGUGCAAACAGAGAGGAAGGUGGGGAUGACGUCAAAUCAUCACGGCCCUUAUGUCUUGGGCUACACACGUGCUACAAUGGUUACUACAAUGUGAUGCCAUCUGGUGACAGAGAGCUAAUCAAUAAAGGUAAUCUCAGUUCGGAUCGGAGUCUGCAACUCGACUCUGUGAAGUUGGAAUCGCUAGUAAUCGUAUAUCAGCAAUGAUACGGUGAAUACGUUCCCGGGCCUUGUACACACCGCCCGUCAA